GACGAACGCUGGCGGCGUGCUUAACACAUGCAAGUCGAACGGAAAGGCCCUGCUUUUGUGGGGUGCUCGAGUGGCGAACGGGUGAGUAACACGUGAGUAACCUGCCCUUGACUUUGGGAUAACUUCAGGAAACUUGGGCUAAUACCGGAUAGGAGCUCCUGCUGCAUGGUGGGGGUUGGAAAGUUUCGGCGGUUGGGGAUGGACUCGCGGCUUAUCAGCUUGUUGGUGGGGUAGUGGCUUACCAAGGCUUUGACGGGUAGCCGGCCUGAGAGGGUGACCGGCCACAUUGGGACUGAGAUUCGGCCCAGACUCCUACGGGAGGCAGCAGUGGGGAAUAUUGCACAAUGGGCGGAAGCCUGAUGCAGCAACGCCGCGUGCGGGAUGACGGCCUUCGGGUUGUAAACCGCUUUCGCCUGUGACGAAGCGUGAGUGACGGUAAUGGGUAAAGAAGCACCGGCUAACUACGUG
rnacentral:rRNA from 1 species